rnacentral:lncRNA from 1 species
CUGCUGCUGGGUCGAAGUGUAGAAGGCUAGAAAGGAGUUGGCAUCGGAGACGAAGGGGAGACGCCAUGCUAUCUUGCACAUAAUGCCAAUUAAUUAAUGGAUACUACUGUGGUUCGGUUGGAUUAUGUAACCGGUGCCCAGGACGACUGCUAUCGAUCGACGUCUCGGUGCUGCUAGACGGUGAAUUGUAUAUCCGCACGAGCACGAUGCACGUUCUGAAGGAAUGCGAAUAGCAGAGGCGUGCCGACGAUUUGCAAGAAGGAUCGAGACUUUCAGUGUAUUGAAGUGAGACGGGGAAGAGAAAGAGUAGCGAGAGAUGAGAGAAAAAGAGAAGAAACGAGACGAAGGGGAAAGAUUCCGUUCUCGGGCCGGUUCCUACAGCGUCUGGUAAUGAAGGUGUUAUUAAAUAGAUUGAGAUUAAUUGCGUGAUUAGUGCUUUAUGUGUAAUUGGAUAGCGUACCAAGGGUAAAGAUGAGAAAGAAAGAAAGACAGAAAAAGAAGAAUAAGAGGAAGAAAGAA